UACGGAGGAUGCAAGCGUUAUCCGGAAUGAUUGGGCGUAAAGCGUCCGCAGGUGGCUAUGUAAGUCUGCUGUUAAAGAGUGAGGCUCAACCUCAUAAAAGCAGUGGAAACUACAUGGCUAGAGUGCGUUCGGGGCAGAGGGAAUUCCUGGUGUAGCGGUGAAAUGCGCAGAUAUCGGGAGGAACACCGGUGGCGAAGGCGGAUCUCUGGGCCUGUCCUGACGCUCAGGCGCGAAAGCUAGGGGAGCAAACAGG
rnacentral:rRNA from 1 species